UACGGAGGGUGCAAGCGUUUAAUCGGAAUUACUGGGCGUAAAGCGCGCGUAGGCGGUUUGAUAAGUCGAUUGUGAAAUCCCCGGGCUCAACCUGGGAAUUGCAGUCGAGACUGUCAGACUAGAGUGUGGGAGAGGGUGGUGGAAUUCCCGGUGUAGCGGUGAAAUGCGUAGAUAUCGGGAGGAACAUCAGUGGCGAAGGCGACCGCCUGGCCCAACACUGACGCUGAGGUGCGAAAGCGUGGGUAGCAAACGAGG
rnacentral:rRNA from 1 species